CCUACGGGAGGCAGCAGUGGGGAAUAUUGCACAAUGGGGGAAACUCUGAUGCAGCGACGCCGCGUGAGUGAAGAAGUAUUUCGGUAUGUAAAGCUCUAUCAGCAGGGAAGAAAAUGACGGUACCUGAUUAAGAAGCCCCGGCUAAAUACGUGCCAGCAGCCGCGGUAAUACGUAGGGGGCAAGCGUUAUCCGGAUUUACUGGGUGUAAAGGGAGCGUAGGUGGCAGCACAAGUCUGGAGUGAAAUCCCAGGGCUUAACCCCGGGACUGCUUUGGAAACUGUGCAGCUAGAGUGCAGGAGAGGUGAGUGGAAUUCCUAGUGUAGCGGUGAAAUGCGUAGAUAUUAGGAGGAACACCAGUGGCGAAGGCGGCUUACUGGACUGUAACUGACGUUGAGGCUCGAAAGCGUGGGGAGCAAACAGGAUUAGAUACCCUAGUAGUC
rnacentral:rRNA from 1 species